GACGAACGCUGGCGGCGUGCUUAACACAUGCAAGUCGAGCGAUGAAGCACCUUCGGGUGUGGAUUAGCGGCGAACGGGUGAGGAACACGUGAGGAAUCUGCCUUUCACUUCGGGAUAACUCCGGGAAACCGGGGCUAAUACCGGAUAUUUUCAACUGGCGGCAUCGCCGGUUGAAGAAAGUUUUUCGGUGAAAGAUGACCUCGCGGCCUACCAGCUUGUUGGUGAGGUAAUGGCUCACCAAGGCGACGACGGGUAGCCGGCCUGAGAGGGCGACCGGCCACACUGGGACUGGGAGACGGCGCAGACGCCUACGGGAGGCAGCAGUGGGGAAUAUUGGGCAAUGGAGGAAACUCUGACCCAGCGACGCCGCGUGAGGGAUGAAGGCCUUCGGGUUGUAAACCUCUUUCAGCAGGGAAUAAGCGAAAGUGAAGGUACCUGCAGAAGAAGCACCGGCUAACUAUGUGCCAGCCGCCGCAGUAA
rnacentral:rRNA from 1 species